rnacentral:rRNA from 1 species
AGAACGAACGCUGGCGGCGAUGCCUAACACAUGCAAGUCGAACGAGACCUUCGGGUCUAGUGGCGCACGGGUGCGUAACGCGUGGGAAUCUGCCCUUGGGUUCGGAAUAACAGCGAGAAAUUGCUGCUAAUACCGGAUGAUGACGUAAGUCCAAAGAUUUAUCGCCCAAGGAUGAGCCCGAGUAGGACUUAGCUUAGUUGGUGAGGUAAGAGCCUCGACCGAAGGCGAACGAUACCUUAGACGUGGU